rnacentral:lncRNA from 1 species
AAUCUGUGAGGUGGAUGCGUGUUGGAAGGACCCCUUUUGGUUUCUUUUUGCUCAGAGCUUUCUUUUAAUAAAUUCCGCUCUCCUCACCUUUCAAUGUGUCCGUAUGCCUAAUUUUUCCUGGUCCUGUGACAAGAACCUGAUUUUAGCUGAACUAAGGAGCGAAAGAUCCUGGAUCAUUUUGGUGACCCAUACUGGUACAUGAGGAAAGAGUUCAGUACAGACUGACACAAGAUUAUCUUAGCUCCUAUUCCAGAUUCUCAGAGUAUAGAUUCUGACUGGAUUACCCUGGUCCUUGAAGUAUACCUAGGAGAUGGAAUAACAUUGUAUAAGCAUCCACGUUGUCAUUAAGAGGAAAGAGUUUCCAUUAAAACAGCAGGUCACAAAACCCUCCUGUGAGAGGAACCCUCUGUGGAAGAACAGAAUAUGUCACCCCAAAAUAUGAAGAAUUGUUGAGCUGAAGAUGAUUAAGAAGAAGCGGAUGCAGGAAAGCUCUCUGCUCUCCCUCUAUUUGCUUAAAAGCAGGAUAAACACUUACAAAGACUAAAGGGGUCCAUUCCAACUAAGAAACUAUGGGGGACCAGGCAUGGUGGCUCACGCCUAUAAUCCCAGCACUUUGGGAGGCCAAGGCCGGCAGAUCACGAGGUCAGGAGAUCGAGACCAUCCUGGCCAACAUGGUGAAACCCCAUCUCUAUUUAAAAAAUACAAAAAAUUAACUGGGUGUGGUGGCAUGCACCUGUAGUCCCAGCUACUUGGGAGUCUGAAGCAGGGGAAUCACUUGAACCCAGAAGGUGAAGGCUGCAGCAAGCCGAGAUCGCACCACUGCACUCCAGCCUGGUGGACAGAGCAAGACUCCGUCUCAAAAAAAAAAAAAAAAAAAAGACUAUGGGGUUAUUUUCCCCCUUCACCUCCCUAUAUUCUAAGGAAAGAAUCAUUCUUAUUUGUGAAGACAAAAGGACACAGAGGGAAAUAUGAACUAAAUUUUUGCUGUGUCCUCCACUUUACUACCCUUAGCUCAUACCCCCUUUGUCUUAUAUUUCUUUGUGACUCUCCACUCUUCAUCAAAUACAGUGUUAAAAACACUCAGGUUUAAUCACUUAUUUGGGUCUUCAUUUCCUUAUUAAAGCUCUCACGGCAUGUAAAGCUUAUAUUUUUAAAAUGUGUAUGCUUCUCUUUUGUCUUUUAUAUGCUUUUCUCUGUCUUCUGUUACAGACGCCACAAUCAAGAACUCAGAAGGGUAGAAGAAAAAGAUAGUUUCCCUUCCCUACACAGGUGUUGAUCCCUUCAUAAAUAUUAUGCAUGCUAAGCCCUAUCUCAAGGUCUACAUCCAGGAGAACCCAACCUGCAACAUUAAGCAGAGGAGCCUUAUCCCAUGGCCUGCACCACCACAGGACCA